GUAGGAUACGGUGACGUAUCUCCUACCACUGUUGGCGGGAAAAUCGUCGGAUGCGCCUGCGCCAUCACUGGCGUACUUCUACUCGCCUUACCAACGUCUAUAGUGACGAC